UUUACUAAAUCGACGUCGGGUCAGAUUAGUAGCUACGUUAUAAGUUCGGCAGUCAGAUGAAAACCCGUUAAAACAUGUUUGUGCAUACCCCCAAGUGAGCCUAUUUUUGUCUGUAACCCAACUUCCCACGCUGAGUUUGGCAACUUUCGCGGUCUGGAAUGAAAAUCAGAUUUGCAGACUUGGGCGCCCGCCAGCCGUCAUCAUCGGCACCUCUUUGACACACUGACGUCUCACACUCGCAGGCUCCGGUGAACGCUACCGUCGGUUUUCCAGGCCAGACACUCAGAAACACAAAUCAAGCAAUAUAGAAUUACAUCAUUUCCAAAAACCCCACUGCGUCUGCCCAGAACUCGGCUGCUGGGUUAUAAGCAAACACGGAGAGCGAAGUAGGCUAUAGUGUAGCCGGGUUUUGUACGGCUUGUGCCGCCGCUAAACAGAUCUUUUUGCGCUCUACACCAUUCCAGGCACCCCCUCACCGCCCUUCUCGCCUUCAAAACACUUCGUUUCCCGGCCACCCCCUUACCGCACAUACACACAGCCCCCCACAGCGACCCCCACGUCCCUACCUUCCGUGUGACAACUGGAGGACAGGAUUGUACUCGGAGGUCGGAAGAGCGGGCGAGGCGAAGGGACAGGAGCGGUCUCCGAGUGGGGCUGUUCCCUCGUUCACCAUGGUUCCUUCCCCCGUCAGCAGGACGAGAGACUCUGCGGGACUUUGAGUCCUCCACGCACGAAUGUUGUUUUGAAGCACUUCAUUGUGGGAGGACCAAGACGUGAGUGUCGAGACAUCGGCCACAGAACCCACACAGUUCUAUUCUCUGAGGGGGGGAGGACCAAAGCUUCCUGUUUCCUGGAGUCGGCUGCAUUUGACAUUCCUGCGCCCGGCUCCUGGCGGGAUUAAAGUUAUAAUAAACGUGCUUUUACGGAGUGAGAGCUUUUGUACGGAGUAAUGAAUUCUGGGCUCGGCUGAAUGAGGACCCCCACAAUGCUCAGCUGGAACUGGGACUUCCUGUCUCGGGUCCGGGCCUGGACCCCCGCCCAGCUGCAUGCUGGGAUACUGCCAGGCCUCCAGACCACCCAUUUUAGCCCUGGGUGGUUUCUGAGGGAUUAUGGGUAAAGAGGAACCUGCCCUGAAAUCAUGACUGCUCCCUAAUGCAGCACCAGACCUGGGACCCAUCUGUAAUUCCUUUGGAUUUUCUGAGCUCGAUUAAUCUUGCCUGUUACAACUGAGCCUGCCAAGAGGACCAGAAGGCGGGGAUUGCACUUUUUGCAAUGCACCAGACAAGCUCACUAAAGCGUAGACAAAUAUUUGAAUCCAAAACACUCCUGUAUUUGACCCUGGUAUUGCCACAUCACUAUCUUUGUUCUUGUUUACGGCCUGUGUGGGGUGUAUUGUGUUGUUUACUGCCUGUGUGAGGUGUAUUGUGUUGUUUACGGCCUGUGUGAGGUGUAUUGUGUUGUUUACUGCCUGUGUGAGGUGUAUUGUGUUGUUUACGGCCUGUGUGAGGUGUAUUGUGUUGUGUACUGCCUGUGUGAGGUGUAUUGUGUUGUUUACUGCCUGUGUGAGGUGUAUUGUGUUGUUUACUGCCUGUGUGAGGUGUAUUGUGUUGUUUACGGCC